AUUGAACGCUGGCGGCAUGCCUUACACAUGCAAGUCGAACGGUAACGGGCCUUCGGGUGCCGACGAGUGGCGAACGGGUGAGUAAUACAUCGGAACGUGCCCGAUCGUGGGGGAUAACGAGGCGAAAGCUUUGCUAAUACCGCAUACGAUCUACGGAUGAAAGCAGGGGACCGCAAGGCCUUGCGCGGACGGAGCGGCCGAUGGCAGAUUAGGUAGUUGGUGGGAUAAAAGCUUACCAAGCCGACGAUCUGUAGCUGGUCUGAGAGGAUGAUCAGCCACGCUGGGACUGAGACACGGCCCAGACUCCUACGGGAGGCAGCAGUGGGGAAUUUUGGACAAUGGGCGCAAGCCUGAUCCAGCCAUGCCGCGUGCAGGAUGAAGGCCUUCGGGUUGUAAACUGCUUUUGUACGGAACGAAAAGCCUUCUUUUAAUACAGGAGGGUCAUGACGGUACCGGAAGAAUAAGCACCGGCUAACUACGUG
rnacentral:rRNA from 1 species